rnacentral:rRNA from 1 species
GACGAACGCUGGCGGCGUGCCUAAUACAUGCAAGUCGAGCGAAUGGAUUAAGAGCUUGCUCUUAUGAAGUUAGCGGCGGACGGGUGAGUAACACGUGGGUAACCUGCCCAUAAGACUGGGAUAACUCCGGGAAACCGGGGCUAAUACCGGAUAACAUUUUGAACCGCAUGGUUCGAAAUUGAAAGGCGGCUUCGGCUGUCACUUAUGGAUGGACCCGCGUCGCAUUAGCUAGUUGGUGAGGUAACGGCUCACCAAGGCAACGAUGCGUAGCCGACCUGAGAGGGCGAUCGGCCACACUGGGACUGAGACACGGCCCAGACUCCUACGGGAGGGAGCAGUAGGGAAUCUUCCGCAAUGGACGAAAGUCUGACGGAGCAAAGCCGCGUGAGUGAUGAAGGCUUUCGGGUCGUAAAACUCUGUUGUUAGGGAAGAACAAGUGCUAGUUGAAUAAGCUGGCACCUUGACGGUACCUAACCAGAAAGCCACGGCUAACUACGUGCCAGCCGCCGCGGUAA